UCGAGAAUCUUCGGCAAUGGGCGCAAGCCUGACCGAGCGACGCCGCGUGGAGGACGAAGGCCUUCGGGUUGUAAACUCCUGUCGAGGGGGAACAAGGCCGCGCGAAGAGCGUGGCUUGAGUGAUCCCUGGAGGAAGCACGGGCUAAGUUCGUGCCAGCAGCCGCGGUAAGACGAACCGUGCGAACGUUAUUCGGAAUCACUGGGCUUAAAGCGCGUGUAGGCGGCCCGGCACGUCAUCGGCUGAAAUCCCCCGGCUCAACCGGGGAAGGGGCCAUGAUACGACCGGGCUGGAGGGGUGUAGGGGGGACGGGAACUCACGGUGGAGCGGUGAAAUGCGUUGAGAUCGUGAGGAACGCCCGCGGCGAAAGCGCGUCCCUGGACAUCACCUGACGCUGAGACGCGAAAGCCAGGGGAGCGAACGG
rnacentral:rRNA from 1 species